rnacentral:rRNA from 1 species
UGGGAAUUUUGGACAAUGGGCGAAAGCCUGAUCCAGCAAUGCCGCGUGUGUGAAGAAGGCCUUCGGGUUGUAAAGCACUUUUGUCCGGAAAGAAAUCCUUGGCUCUAAUACAGUCGGGGGAUGACGGUACCGGAAGAAUAAGCACCGGCUAACUACGUGCCAGCAGCCGCGGUAAUACGUAGGGUGCAAGCGUUAAUCGGAAUUACUGGGCGUAAAGCGUGCGCAGGCGGUUUGCUAAGACCGAUGUGAAAUCCCCGGGCUCAACCUGGGAACUGCAUUGGUGACUGGCAGGCUAGAGUAUGGCAGAGGGGGGUAGAAUUCCACGUGUAGCAGUGAAAUGCGUAGAGAUGUGGAGGAAUACCGAUGGCGAAGGCAGCCCCCUGGGCCAAAUACUGACGCUCAUGCACGAAAGCGUGGGGAGCAAACAGGAUUAGAUACCCUGGUAGUCCACGCCCUAAACGAUGUCAACUAGUUGUUGGGGAUUCAUUUCCUUAGUAACGUAGCUAACGCGUGAAGUUGACCGCCUGGGGAGUACGGUCGCAAGAUUAAAACUCAAAGGAAUUGACGGGGUCAUAGCUGUUUCCU